GUUGCUCUUUUUCUUUUUCUUUUUUCUUUUUUCUGUUUCUUCUAAAGAAAAAGAGAUGGGAACUCAAUUGAUGAUUAUUGACAAUAAGUUUCAGAAAUUGGAGCCUGUGUCAAUAGAAAGUGUUGUUUUUCAACGAGAUUUCUCUUCUGAACUUCCCCAAAAAGAGGAAAGAGGAAAAGAAGAACAUGAAAUU
rnacentral:ribozyme from 13 species